rnacentral:rRNA from 1 species
UACGGAGGGAGCUAGCGUUGUUCGGAAUUACUGGGCGUAAAGCGCACGUAGGCGGCUUUGUAAGUUAGAGGUGAAAGCCCGGGGCUCAACUCCGGAACUGCCUUUAAGACUGCAUCGCUUGAAUCCAGGAGAGGUGAGUGGAAUUCCGAGUGUAGAGGUGAAAUUCGUAGAUAUUCGGAAGAACACCAGUGGCGAAGGCGGCUCACUGGCCCGUAACUGACGCUGAGGCACGAAAGCGUGGGGAGCAAACAGG